rnacentral:misc_RNA from 1 species
AACCCUCUCAUUAAACAUUUUCUUUCUUUGAAAGAUUUGUUUAGUGGAUGUUGAGUGUUGCUGUAAUUAGCUCACUUUAAAUAUAUCAGUCACUUUUUGAAUGAGUUGGAUUGACUUGGUGUGUAAUAAUUUUAUAUCAUCACAUUAAGGAAAGUAGCAAUACUUGCCAUCUUAUUUAAUGAAAGAGACUUCUAAAGAACCAUACAUUUUUUUUAC